rnacentral:rRNA from 1 species
AUUGAACGCUGGCGGCAGGCCUAACACAUGCAAGUCGAGCGAGCGGCGGACGGGUGAGUAAUGCCUAGGAAUCUGCCUGGUAGUGGGGGAUAAAGUCCGGAAACGGUAGCUAAUACCGCAUACCAUACGAUGUGCCCAGAUGGGAUUAGGUAGUAGGUGGGGUAACGGCUAACCUAGGCGACGAUCCCUAGCUGGUCUGAGAGGAGUACCAGCCACACUGGAACUUAGACACGGUCCAGACGCCUACGGGAGGCAGCUGUGGGGAAUAUUGCACAAUUGGCGCAAGCCUGAUGCAGCCAUGCCGCGUGUGUGAAGAGGGCCUUCGGGUUGUAAAGCACUUUCAGCGGGGAGGCGUUACCCGCAGAAGAAGCACCGGCUAACUCCGUGCCAGCAGCCGCGGUAAUUC